rnacentral:ncRNA from 2 species
UACGGGGGGGGCAAGCGUUGUUCGGAAUUACUGGGCGUAAAGGGCGCGUAGGCGGCCCGGCAAGUCCUUCGUGAAAUCCCACAGCUCAACUGUGGAAUUGCGUGGGAUACUGCCGGGCUUGAGUCCGGGAGAGGAGAGUGGAAUUCCCAGUGUAGCGGUGAAAUGCGUAGAUAUUGGGAGGAACACCGGUGGCGAAGGCGGCUCUCUGGACCGGAACUGACGCUGAGGCGCGAAAGCUAGGGGAGCAAACGGG